rfam:Agrilus planipennis Contig37026, whole genome shotgun sequence.
UAAUAGAAACACCAAUAGACAUAAAGAAUACAUCAUCCUUAUCGGCUAAAGAGGACCCUAGUUGGUCCUAAAACGGCCUGAGGUAGAGGGAUUUUAGUCGGUAGGUCCGAGGACUUCUUCCUCGGGAAUCCGACACUACCCAGUCGUACGAACGGCUGGGUGUCUUCUGAAGAUUUCCCCUCUUCCACGAAA